UACAUGCAAGUCGAACGAACUCUGGUAUUGAUUGGUGCUUGCAUCAUGAUUUACAUUUGAGUGAGUGGCGAACUGGUGAGUAACACGUGGGAAACCUGCCCAGAAGCGGGGGAUAACACCUGGAAACAGAUGCUAAUACCGCAUAACAACUUGGACCGCAUGGUCCGAGUUUGAAAGAUGGCUUCGGCUAUCACUUUUGGAUGGUCCCGCGGCGUAUUAGCUAGAUGGUGGGGUAACGGCUCACCAUGGCAAUGAUACGUAGCCGACCUGAGAGGGUAAUCGGCCACAUUGGGACUGAGACACGGCCCAAACUCCUACGGGAGGCAGCAGUAGGGAAUCUUCCACAAUGGACGAAAGUCUGAUGGAGCAACGCCGCGUGAGUGAAGAAGGGUUUCGGCUCGUAAAACUCUGUUGUUAAAGAAGAACAUAUCUGAGAGUAACUGUUCAGGUAUUGACGGUAUUUAACCAGAAAGCCACGGCUAACUACGUGCCAGCAGCCGCGGUAAUACGUAGGUGGCAAGCGUUGUCCGGAUUUAUUGGGCGUAAAGCGAGCGCAGGCGGUUUUUUAAGUCUGAUGUGAAAGCCUUCGGCUCAACCGAAGAAGUGCAUCGGAAACUGGGAAACUUGAGUGCAGAAGAGGACAGUGGAUCUCUCGUGUGU
rnacentral:rRNA from 2 species